rnacentral:rRNA from 1 species
CCUACGGGGGGCAGCAGUGGGGAAUAUUGGACAAUGGGGGGAACCCUGAUCCAGCCAUGCCGCGUGUGUGAAGAAGGCCCUCGGGUUGUAAAGCACUUUCAGUGAGGAAGAACGCCUGGUGGUUAAUACCCAUCAGGAAAGACAUCACUCACAGAAGAAGCACCGGCUCAACUCCGUGCCAGCAGCCGCGGUAAUACGGAGGGUGCGAGCGUUAAUCGGAAUUACUGGGCGUAAAGCGCGCGUAGGUGGCUUGAUAAGCCGGUUGUGAAAGCCCCGGGCUCAACCUGGGAACGGCAUCCGGAACUGUCAAGCUAGAGUGCAGGAGAGGAAGGUAGAAUUCCCGGUGUAGCGGUGAAAUGCGUAGAGAUCGGGAGGAAUACCAGUGGCGAAGGCGGCCUUCUGGACUGACACUGACACUGAGGUGCGAAAGCGUGGGUAGCAAACAGGAUUAGAUACCCCAGUAGUC